UCCCUGGUGGUCUAAUGGUUAAGAUGCCAUGCUUCCAAUGCAGAGGGUGCAGGUUCGAUCCCUGGUCAGGGAA
rnacentral:tRNA from 1 species